GGAAGGAUCAGUGCAUGAGAAUGAGAGAGGUGGUUGGGCUGGGGGUUGAUGGGGGAAAGAGUCUUGUGGACGGGUGGACAGUUUGUCUGGACACUGGCUGUGGAUUGUUUGCUCUCUUUGCUCUCGCCUGCCAACAUUUGCGCUUUAAUGUUUGACAGAUUGUAUAUGAGAAUAGGAAUAUAGACAACUUUUAACAAUGGAUCUCUUGGCUCUUGCAACGAUGAAGAACGCAGUAAAGUGCGAAAAGUGAUGCGACGUGCACGAAUCUGUGAGUCAUUUAAUGUUUGAACGCAACUUGCGCCUCGGUGAGGCAUGUCUGGUUGAGUGUGUGAUACACUUGUGACGAUUGCAAUAGCAGUUGAUGUUGAUGUUGAUGCUGAUAUUGAUGUUGAUGUUGAUGUUGGUAUUAAUGUCAAUGUUGGUAUUGAUGUUGAUGUCAAUGUUGGUAUUGAUGUUGAUGUUGAUGUUGGUAUUAAUGUCAAUGUUGGUAUUGGUAUUGAUGAUGUUGUUGUUGUUGUUGUCAUGUAGUUGGCGGGGGUGUGUGGGUGGCACGACAUGGCAUCACAUGGCCAUGGGGUGACAUUUGCACACGCUGCUUGAAACAAUAGUCUAUCGAUCAAGAGAGGACUCGAGUGCAAGUCAUUUUAAUCUCGCAUCCUUUGUUGGUUGACAAGCGAGUGGGUUGGGUGUGAUGGUCAAUGAUUUGGUUGUAUAGUACAUGACUCGAUCAAGCCAUGACCGGCCUGCUCGCGCUCUUGUCGACGCCUCAACUCAGUCAGGACUACCCGCUGAACUUAAGCAUAUCAGUAAGCGGAGGAAAAGAAACUAACAGGGAUUCCCCUAGUAACGGCGAGUGAAGCGGGAACAGCUCAAAUUUGGAAUCUCGACGUCUCGGCGUCGCGAAUUGUAGUCUAAAGAGAGCGAUCAUUGGCACGGCAGAGGCGCAAGUCUCUUGGAAUAGAGCGCCAGAGAGGGUGACAGCCCCGUCAGGCAUCUGCGGUGUCUCGUAUGAGAGCUCUUUAACGAGUCGAGUUGUUUGGGAAUGCAGCUCAAAGCGGGUGGUAAAUCCCAUCCAAGGCUGAAUAUUGGCAAGAGACCGAUAGCGAACAAGUACCGUGAGGGAAAGAUGAAAAGCACCUUGAAAAGGGAGUUAAACAGUGCGUGAAAUUGUUAAAAGGGAAACGAUAGAGUCCAGUAUUGGUGCAUGCUUCAAGCUAAUGCUCGGGUGUUGGCAGCGAGCAUGGACACGAGUCAAAAUUGGUUGGGGUCGCUGAAUAAUGGCAGGAGAAAGGGUUGAUUUGCAUUUGCUGAUCGACGGUCUCUUGUUGUUGCAGGGACUGCGACCAAGGAUGGAAGCGAGUCUGGAGAGGCGACGUGUCGGAAUGAUUGGCCUGAUUGUAUUUUCAGGGUGGAUUGUGACGAGCGUGGCUUUUGUUGGCUUGGAUCUAGGUUUGACGAAAUGGCCUCUAACGACCCGUCUUGAAACACGGACCAAGGAGUCUAGCAAGUGUGCGAGUAUUAGGGUGGCAAACCCGGAUGCGCAACAAACGUGAGUGUUGGGAGCCUGACAUUUGUUGGGUGCACCAAUGACGUGAUCCACACGCGUGUGGGUUGCGUGCAGCUCACUUGCUGGGACCCGAAAGGCGGUGAACUAUGCCUGACUAGGGCAAAGCCAGAGGAAACUCUGGUGGAGGCUCGUAGCCGUUCUGACGUGCAAAUCGAUGGUCAAAGUUGGGUAUAGGGGCGAAAGACUAAUCGAACCGCCUAGUAGCUGGUUCCCUC
rnacentral:misc_RNA from 1 species